CGCCCCACCGGCGGCGGGAGGGGGCGGCAGGGGGUGAACGGGCCCAGAACGGGCUGAGGGCAACGGGGCUGGCUCGGGCCCGGGGGCCGCGUCCCUCCGGUGGGGGCACCGGGGGGCGGCGGAGGGGACGGGACUGGGACCGGGACCGGGACCGGGCCGCAGGGGGGGCACGGGGAAGGCCCCUCACAACCAGGCCCAGCGGGCCCCGGCCUCGUAGGGCCCGGCCAGGCGCGGUGGGGCCCGGCCCGGUUCCCCCCCCCCCUCCCCCGGGCCGGUCCCGGUCCCGGUUCCGGUCCCGGUUCCGGGGGCGGGGCGAGGCGGGGCCGCGCCAACCAAUGGGAUCGCGCCGCGGCCCUGUUGCCUUGGCGACCGCGGGCUGCCCGGCCGAGGGGCCGCUCCCAUUGGCUGCCGCCUCGGCGCGGGCCCGGCGCAGGGCGCGAUCCCAUUGGCUGCGGCGCCGCCCGCUGUUGCCAUGGCGACAGCGCCCGAGCGCGGCCUAGGCCCGGCCCCGAACCCUGAGGCCUGGCCCGGGGGCGAGCAGCGGGCACCGGGCACCGGGAACGACCCUGAGGGGGGCUGGGGGGAGCCCCGCGGGGUCAGGCGGAGCCGCAGGGCCCGGUCUCGGUGCUGGGGGCACGAGUGUCCCGUGUGGAAGCGGGGAUGGAGCCAAGAGGCCUGGUCCCGGGGGGGCUGAGGGGAGCGGGGCGCAGCAAGCGGCAGGAGGCCGAAGCACAGAAGGGAGCUGCGGCCCGCAAGCUGAACCUGCCACCGAUCCCCAGCGAGGACAAGAGGAGAGGGGAGAAGAAGAAGCCAGUUACAUUUAUGUCGAGUAAAAAAACACCCCUGCCUUCAAAGAAACCGGUGUCCCAAGAGAAAUACAGAAGUUUUACCGAGAAGUCAGCGCUCAAGGAGGCUGAAAUAGCUGAGGCGUUGGAAGAGAUCAAAAUCACCACGGAUCUGACCCAGCAGAAGAUAAAUGCCAUAGAGGAGCUGAAGCAGCGCAGCGCCCGCCUGGAAGAGGCCAACUGCCGGCUGAUGAAGGACAUCCAGCACACCGAUGCCAGCACUGCCAAGCGAGCCAGAGACCUGCUGCAGCAGUACGAACAGUUUCAGAUGGUCAAGGCAACGGCGCAGACCGCCAGUCAGAAGAGACUGGACACAGCGAGGGCAGAGCUGCAGGAAAUGGAAAAAACAAUGGAAAAGAAUCUGGGAGAGCUACAGCAGCAGUUGGAUGAAGCCACAUCCAACGUACAGGUUCUCCAGGAUGAGCUCAGCGUCCUGCGGACCUACACGGACGUGCAUUAUCCCAAACAGGCUCUCCAGAUUGUCCUCCUUCUCUCCGACAUCCAGAACCUGAAGAAGCAGCAGCAGGUGCUGAGACCUCUCCUCCUCUGUAGCAUUGCUCUGGGGACUGGAGAGGGCAGGGGAGGAAGGAACAGGAGCUCAGUGUUUGUCCUGCUUAACGCUCCUGCUGUUCCUGUGCGCUGCCUCCUGCCGCCCUCAGGAUGAGAUAGACAAGACAGAAGAAAUGGGGAAGGCCGUCCUGGAGGAACUGGAAGAGAAAACACGGCAAGAACAAGAGGAGCUGCUGCAGCAAGUCGUGGAGGUAGGUGGUGGAACUACUCCGCCGUCUCGGCAG
rnacentral:lncRNA from 1 species